AUUGAACGCUGGCGGCAGGCCUAACACAUGCAAGUCGAGCGGCAGCACGGUCUUCGGACUGGUGGCGAGCGGCGGACGGCUGAGUAACGCGUAGGAACAUGCCCCAAAGUGAGGAAUAACUGCCCGAAAGGGUGGCUAAUGCCGCAUGUGGUCUUCGGACUAAAGCUUUAUGCGCUUUGGGAGUGGCCUGCGUCCGAUUAGCUUGUUGGUGAGGUAAUGGCUCACCAAGGCGACGAUCGGUAGCUGGUCUGAGAGGAUGAUCAGCCAGACUGGAACUGAGAACGGUCCAGACUCCUACGGGAGGCAGCAGUAGGGAAUUUUCCACAAUGGGCGAGAGCCUGAUGGAGCAACGCCGCGUGCAGGAUGAAUGCCUUCGGGUUGUAAACUGCUUUUAUGUGCGAAGAAUUUGACUGUAACACAUGAAUAAGGAUCGGCUAACUACGUGCCAGCAGCCGCCGUAA
rnacentral:rRNA from 1 species